rnacentral:rRNA from 1 species
UACGUAGGCAGCAAGCGUUGUUCGGAGUUACUGGGCGUAAAGAGUAUGUAGGCGGUGUCCUAAGUUCGGUGUGAAAUCUCCCGGCUCAACUGGGAGGGUGCGCCGAAGACUGGGAUGGCUGGAGUCGCGGAGAGGAACGCGGAAUUCCUGGUGUAGCGGUGAAAUGCGUAGAUAUCAGGAGGAACACCAGUGGUGUAGACGGCGUUCUGGACGAGUACUGACGCUGGAGAUACGAAAGCGUGGGGAGCAAACAGG